UGAGGAAUAUUGGACAAUGGGCGCAAGCCUGACCCAGCCAUGCCGCGUGCAGGAAGAAGCAUCUAUGGUGUGUAAACUGCUUUUGUACGGGAAGAAACACUCCUACGUGUAGGAGCUUGACGGUACCGUAAGAAUAAGGAUCGGCUAACUCCGUGCCAGCAGCCGCGGUCAUACGGAGGAUCCAAGCGUUAUCCGGAAUCAUCUGGUUUAAAGGGUCCGUAGGCGGUUUAAUAAGUCAGUGGUUAAAGUCCAUCGCUCAACGAUGGAACGGCCAUUGAUACUGUUAGACUUGAAUUACAAGGAAGUAACUAGCAUAUGUGGUGUAGCGGUGAGAUGCUUAGAUAUUACAUGGAAUACCAAUUGCGAAAGCAGGUUACUGCUUGUGGAUUGACACUGGUGGACGAAAGCGUGGAGAGCGAAC
rnacentral:rRNA from 1 species